UACGUAGGGCGCAAGCGUUGUCCGGAAUUAUUGGGCGUAAAGAGCUCGUAGGCGGUCUGUCGCGUCUGUUGUGAAAACUCGAGGCUCAACCUCGGGCUUGCAGUGGAUACGGGCAGACUAGAGUGCGGUAGGGGAGACUGGAAUUCCUGGUGUAGCGGUGGAAUGCGCAGAUAUCAGGAGGAACACCGAUGGCGAAGGCAGGUCUCUGGCCGCAACUGACGCUGAGGAGCGAAAGCAUGGGGAGCGAACAGG
rnacentral:rRNA from 1 species